GCUCUUAGCCGAGCGGUCUAAGGCGCCACGUUAAGGUCGAAGCAUCUUCCAGAUCUUCCACGCCAGCUUCAAGCUGGAACAGUUCCGUGGUCCGAAAGGGCAUGGGUUCGAAUCCCAUUCUCAUCA
rnacentral:tRNA from 1 species